rnacentral:rRNA from 1 species
CCCGAUGCAAACUGCGAAUACCGGAGAAUGUUAUCACGGGAGACACACGGCGGGUGCUAACGUCCGUCGUGAAGAGGGAAACAACCCAGACCGCCAGCUAAGGUCCCAAAGUCAUGGUUAAGUGGGAAACGAUGUGGGAAGGCCCAGACAGCCAGGAUGUUGGCUUAGAAGCAGCCAUCAUUUAAAGAAAGCGUAAUAGCUCACUGGUCGAGUCGGCCUGCGCGGAAGAUGUAACGGGGCUAAACCAUGCACCGAAGCUGCGGCAGCGACACUAUGUGUUGUUGGGUAGGGGAGCGUUCUGUAAGCCUGUGAAGGUGUACUGUGAGGUAUGCUGGAGGUAUCAGAAGUGCGAAUGCUGACAUAAGUAACGAUAAAGCGGGUGAAAAGCCCGCUCGCCGGAAGACCAAGGGUUCCUGUCCAACGUUAAUCGGGGCAGGGUGAGUCGACCCCUAAGGCGAGGCCGAAAGGCGUAGUCGAUGGGAAACAGGUUAAUAUUCCUGUACUUGGUGUUACUGCGAAGGGGGGACGGAGAAGGCUAUGUUGGCCGGGCGACGGUUGUCCCGGUUUAAGCGUGUAGGCUGGUUUUCCAGGCAAAUCCGGAAAAUCAAGGCUGAGGCGUGAUGACGAGGCACUACGGUGCUGAAGCGACAAAUGCCCUGCUUCCAGGAAAAGCCUCUAAGCAUCAGGUAACAUCAAAUCGUACCCCAAACCGACACAGGUGGUCAGGUAGAGAAUACCAAGGCGCUUGAGAGAACUCGGGUGAAGGAACUAGGCAAAAUGGUGCCGUAACUUCGGGAGAAGGCACGCUGAUAUGUAGGUGAAGCGACUUGCUCGUGGAGCUGAAAUCAGUCGAAGAUACCAGCUGGCUGCAACUGUUUAUUAAAAACACAGCACUGUGCAAACACGAAAGUGGACGUAUACGGUGUGACGCCUGCCCGGUGCCGGAAGGUUAAUUGAUGGGGUUAGCGGUAACGCGAAGCUCUUGAUCGAAGCCCCGGUAAACGGCGGCCGUAACUAUAACGGUCCUAAGGUAGCGAAAUUCCUUGUCGGGUAAGUUCCGACCUGCACGAAUGGCGUAAUGAUGGCCAGGCUGUCUCCACCCGAGACUCAGUGAAAUUGAACUCGCUGUGAAGAUGCAGUGUACCCGCGGCAAGACGGAAAGACCCCGUGAACCUUUACUAUAGCUUGACACUGAACAUUGAGCCUUGAUGUGUAGGAUAGGUGGGAGGCUUUGAAGUGUGGACGCCAGUCUGCAUGGAGCCGACCUUGAAAUACCACCCUUUAAUGUUUGAUGUUCUAACGUGGGCCCCUUACCGGGGUUGCGGACAGUGUCUGGUGGGUAGUUUGACUGGGGCGGUCUCCUCCUAAAGAGUAACGGAGGAGCACGAAGGUUGGCUAAUCCUGGUCGGACAUCAGGAGGUUAGUGCAAUGGCAUAAGCCAGCUUGACUGCGAGCGUGACGGCGCGAGCAGGUGCGAAAGCAGGUCAUAGUGAUCCGGUGGUUCUGAAUGGAAGGGCCAUCGCUCAACGGAUAAAAGGUACUCCGGGGAUAACAGGCUGAUACCGCCCAAGAGUUCAUAUCGACGGCGGUGUUUGGCACCUCGAUGUCGGCUCAUCACAUCCUGGGGCUGAAGUAGGUCCCAAGGGUAUGGCUGUUCGCCAUUUAAAGUGGUACGCGAGCUGGGUUUAGAACGUCGUGAGACAGUUCGGUCCCUAUCUGCCGUGGGCGCUGGAGAACUGAGGGGGGCUGCUCCUAGUACGAGAGGACCGGAGUGGACGCAUCACUGGUGUUCGGGUUGUCAUGCCAAUGGCACUGCCCGGUAGCUAAAUGCGGAAGAGAUAAGUGCUGAAAGCAUCUAAGCACGAAACUUGCCCCGAGAUGAGUUCUCCCUGACUCCUUGAGAGUCCUGAAGGAACGUUGAAGACGACGACGUUGAUAGGCCGGGUGUGUAAGCGCAGCGAUGCGUUGAGCUAACCGGUACUAAUGAACCGUGAGGCUUAACCUU